AGGAGUCGUAUGAGGUGAAAAUUUCAUGUACGGUUCUGUAAUAGUUAUGUGAGCAGUAAUGUUAUUACCGACUAUGAU
rnacentral:ncRNA from 1 species